GAUGAACGCUGGCGGCGUGCCUAACACAUGCAAGUCGAGCGGACAGACGCGGAGCUUGUUGGGCUGACGUUAGCGGCAGACGGGUGAGUAACACGUGGAUACCCUACCUAUAAGUCUGGGAAAACUUCGGAAAACGGGAGCAAAUACGGGAUAAUAUAUUGAACCGCAGGGUGGGAUGGUAAAAGACGGUUGUGCCGGCAGUUAUGGAUGGAUCCGCGCCUCAUUGGCUGGUUGGUGAGGUACCGGUUUACCAAGGCAACGAUGGGUAGCCGGCCUGAGAGGGGGACCGGGCACAUUGGGACUACGGUAGGGCCCAGACGCCUACGGGAGGCAGCAGGGGGGAAUAUUGCGCAAUGGGCGGAAGCGUGAGGCAGCAACGCCGCGUGCGGGAUGACGGCUUUCGGGUUGUAAACCGCUUUCGCCGGAGACGAAGCGGGAGUGACGGUAAUGGGUAAAGAAGCACCGGCUAACUACGUG
rnacentral:rRNA from 1 species